UACGUAGGCAGCGAGCGUUGUUCGGAGUUACUGGGCGUAAAGGGUGUGUAGGCGGUUGUUUAAGUUUGGUGUGAAAUCUCCCGGCUCAACUGGGAGGGUGCGCCGAAUACUGAAUGACUUGGAGUGCGGGAGAGGAGAGUGGAAUUCCUGGUGUAGCGGUGAAAUGCGUAGAUAUCAGGAGGAACACCUGUGGUGUAGACGGCUUUCUGGACCAUAGCUGACGCUGAGACACGAAAGCGUGGGUAGCAAACAGG
rnacentral:rRNA from 1 species